rnacentral:rRNA from 1 species
UACGAAGGGGGCUAGCGUUGCUCGGAAUCACUGGGCGUAAAGCGCACGUAGGCGGCUUCUUAAGUCAGGGGUGAAAUCCUGGAGCUCAACUCCAGAACUGCCUUUGAUACUGAGGAGCUUGAGUCCGGGAGAGGUGAGUGGAACUGCGAGUGUAGAGGUGAAAUUCGUAGAUAUUCGCAAGAACACCAGUGGCGAAGGCGGCUCACUGGCCCGGUACUGACGCUGAUGCGCGAAAGCUAGGGGAGCAAACGGG